rnacentral:rRNA from 1 species
GACGAACGCUGGCGGCGUGCUUAACACAUGCAAGUCGAACGCUGAAGCUCAGCUUUUGUUGGGUGGAUGAGUGGCGAACGGGUGAGUAACACGUGGGUAACCUGCCUCCUUCUUUGGGAUAACGCCCGGAAACGGGUGCUAAUACUGGAUAUUCACUGGUCUUCGCAUGGGGGUUGGUGGAAAGGGUUUUUCUGGUGGGGGAUGGGCUCGCGGCCUAUCAGCUUGUUGGUGGGGUGAUGGCCUACCAAGGCUUUGACGGGUAGCCGGCCUGAGAGGGUGACCGGUAACAUUGGGACUGAGAUACGGCCCAGAAUACUACGGGAGGCAGCAGUGGGGAAUAUUGCACAAUGGGCGCAAGCCUGAUGCAGCGACGCCGUGUGAGGGAUGGAGGCCUUCGGGUUGUGAACCUCUUUCGCUCAUGGUCAAGCCGCAACAAUGGUUGUGGUGAGGGUAGUGGGUAAAGAAGCGCCGGCUAACUACGUG